rnacentral:rRNA from 1 species
UACGUAGGGUGCAAGCGUUGUCCGGAAUUAUUGGGCGUAAAGAGCUCGUAGGCGGUCUGUCGCGUCGGCUGUGAAAACUCGGGGCUCAACCCCGAGCCUGCAGUCGAUACGGGCAGACUAGAGUGCGGUAGGGGAGACUGGAAUUCCUGGUGUAGCGGUGAAAUGCGCAGAUAUCAGGAGGAACACCGGUGGCGAAGGCGGGUCUCUGGGCCGUAACUGACGCUGAGGAGCGAAGCGUGGGGAGCAAACAGG